ensembl:lncRNA
UGCUUAUUUAUGAAUGUAUAUGAAAUGUACAUUUUCUUCUUUCCUUUGAAAAUCACCCCGGGACCAACCCAGGUUUGCAUGCUUUGUGUACAUAAGCACUGCUCAGGGAACUGUCAGACAAUGUGAGUGCGUGCGGGUAUACCAGAGCACUGAGUCACUGUGUUCCGCAGUCUGCUAAUUGGCUGAUCUAGGCAGGGUUAUUUUAAGCAGGUAUAAAGUUCAGGUGGCUUCGGCUAGUCAACUGAAAUGCUCCUGGCAGAGCGUCUGCUGCUUUCCCCAUUUACUGAUUAUUCGGAGGCUCAAAGAGAGGAUUGUGUGAGUAAGCGAACACGUAGACAUCAGCCGGAAUGAGGUUUCACCUGUGAUGACCUGUAUUUGUCAUUAAAAAGGAUAAACCCACAUGAAGACCUGUCUAUGGGAGGAAAAACAGCUGUCUAUGGGGGAAACGCAAGCCAUUUUGAAGCUGAGAAGAGAGGGAAAAUGUAUCUUAGCCAGUGCACGAGCAUUGGGCAUAAUCAAUACAGCAAUUUGGAAUGUCUUGAAAAAGAAAGAAACCACUGGUGUAUUAAUAACCAGACAUUGAACAGGUCAGCCAAGGAAAACAACAGCAGUUGAUAACAUGAACAUUGUUGAGUUGUGAAGAAAAACCCAAAAACAACAGUCAGUGACCUCAACAACCUUCACAGGGCAGGGGUGACGGUAUCACAAUCCACCAUUCGAAGAAGACGUCAAGUGCAGAAAUAUAGAGGCAAUACCACAAGGUGCAAACCACUCAUCAGCAGUAAGAAUCGAAAAGCCAGAUUGGAAUUUGCAAAAGAAGUACAGAGAUGAGCCACAAAAGUUCUGUAACCAAGAUUAACCUCAACCAAAGUAAUGGAAAGGCCAAAGUGAGGAGAAAGAAUGGAUCUGCUCAUGAUCCAAAAGCUAGAAGCUCAUCAGUCAAGCAUGGUGGAAGUAGUGUCAUGGCUUGGGUUUGCAUGGCUGCUUCUGGAACAGGCUCACUAAUCUUUAUUGAUGAUGUAACUCAUGUCGGUAACAACAGAAUGAAUUCAGAAGUUUACAGGAACAAUGUCUUCCAAUUUUCAGAGAAAUGCAUCCAACCUAAUUGGGAGGAACUUCAUCAUGCAGCAAGACAAUGAUCCAAAACACACUGCCAACACAAUAAAUGACCUCAUCUAAAAAGGCAACAGUUUGGUGAUGUGAAUGCAUCUUCGGGUUGAUGCAGUUAUUGCAAGCAAGGGAUAUGCAACCGGAUAUUAAGUGUUAUUUACUUUAAGGCCAUCUGUUCCAUUAUUAUUGCUCCCCUAAAAAUUAGGUGUUCUGAUACAAAAGGUUUUAUGUUGUUUAACACAUCUAGAUGUAAAUACCAGGAAAUGAAAGCUGAAAUUCUGAUCUAUUGUCUCAUCCAUCUUUGGAUCCUUCAGUGUAUAGCACAAACAAAAGAAUAAGCAUUGCCUUUCCAAUAGUUUUGGAGUGGACUGUAUACUGAUAACAUAAUAUUUUGUUAACAUUUAGCAUAAAGUAUGUCUGUCACGUCAACACACACACACUGUAGUUUGAACUUUGUGUUCUCUGUACAACACAUACACUGUAUAUGUACAUGACUAU